rnacentral:rRNA from 1 species
UACGGAGGGUGCAAGCGUUAAUCGGAAUCACUGGGCGUAAAGCGCAUGUAGGCUGUUUUAUAAGUCAGAGGUGAAAUCCCACGGCUCACCCGUGGAACUGCCUUUGAUACUGUGAGACUUGAGUCUGUGAGAGGAUAGUGGAAUUCCAGGUGUAGGGGUGAAAUCCGUAGAGAUCUGGAGGAACAUCAGUGGCGAAGGCGACUAUCUGGUGCAGUACUGACGCUGAGAUGCGAAAGCGUGGGGAUCAAAC